rnacentral:rRNA from 1 species
CCUACGGGGGGCUGCAGUCGAGAAUCUUCCGCAAUGGACGAAAGUCUGACGGAGCGACGCCGCGUGGUCGAUGAAGUCCUUCGGGACGUAAAGACCUUUUAUAGGGGAGAAAGUUUAUUGAUAGUACCCUAUGAAUAAGAGGUUGCUAAACUCGUGCCAGCAGCAGCGGUAAUACGAGUGCCUCAAGCGUUAUCCGGAAUCACUGGGCGUAAAGGGUGUGUAGGUGGUCUUGUUAGUCUCUUGUCAAAUUCUUCGGCUUAACCGGGGGCUCGCAGGGGAAACGGCAAGACUUGAGGGUGCUAGGGGUGAAUGGAACUCAUGGAGUAGGGGUGAAAUCCGUUGAUAUCAUGGGGAACACCAAAAGCGAAGGCAGUUCACUGGAGCAUUUCUGACACUGAAACACGAAAGCGUGGGUAGCGAAUGGGAUUAGAUACCCGGGUAGUC